UCUGCGCCUUGGAGAAAAGCACCCGCCGCUUCCGCUUCUUGCCGGCGUCCCCCCCGCCGCCCGGGGUCUCCUUGUCAUUGUCCGGUGACUCGUCGGCCGAGGGCUCCGGGGACUUGGAGCUUGAGUCCUGAGGGGGCGCGCCUGCCGCCAGACCGUGCACUGGGGGGAGGGGGAGAGAGAAGCGCGUCAGGCGUCUGGAGGCCGCGCGCAGCCUGCACCAGACUCGGAGCACCCUGAAUCCUUCGUGCGACCCUGGACCUCCGCGCCUGGCAGCCCAGCCCCGCUGCCUUUGCCGUGACCCCUGCCUUGCUCUACGCCUCACGAGGACGUCGAGGCCUCCCAGGCGUCCAGCCCAGGCUGCGGCCGCAGGAAUGGAGGGGACCACGGCCUCGGCAGCCAAGUUUUGCUACUUACGGGAGUACUGGAGGCCCUCGGUGCUGGCCAGCCAGCGCGUGUACGGGUUGUCGCUGCUGUCGUAGAAGGGGUUCUUCAGGGGCAGGCUCUGCACCGCGUCCAGGGCGCCCUGCCCCAGCGGCCCGGCCCUCUUGGCUGGCUCGGGCCCCUCGUUCUCUUCCUCCGGCCCUUCGGCCACAGAGCCCUCCUCAUCGUUGGUGUCCGGCAGGUCUAAGAUGUCCUUGACCGAAAACCCCGUCUUUGUGUUGGUCAGCGACAUGGUUCCAGACCCCAAAAUUUAUGUCGCAAAGUUGUA